UCUAUUAGUUGUGUAAUCUGGUAAUGUGUUCUUUGAACAUUUUUCAAUUUUCUUCAAAAUAACAACUGGUUCUGAAUUUAACUGGUGCAAUGCCGCUUUCAGCAUAGUAGAAUGGUACCCUACAAAAGCAAGAAACAUUCAGAUUGCUUUGCGGUGUAUACCGGAGAGGGAUAUUUAAACGUUCAAACCGCUUAGAGCUGUAUCAAAGAGAAGGCCAUUUCUCACAGGAAGGACGAUAUUGGCUUAAACGCUUCACACUUCAAUAGAAGAAUUUACCUCAAAACUCAUGGAGAUCUAAAUAAUUCGACGAUGGAAUCUGGAUUGUUUGAUUAGGAAAACUAUUUGCCCGUUAAAGAUUGGCUAAACUAAGAAACUGAAAACGAGCCAAAAUUAGGAAAAAGAAGAGUUGAAGUUCCGAGGCGCAAGGACAAACGCAAACUGUGAAUGCACUUGUAAGGGAAGUACUCCUUCACGUAUUCUUUUUGCUCUACUGGAAAAUCAAUUAGCUACGGAAACGAAAAUUUUGCUGAACGCCGAGCAUUUCCGUUCUUCAAGACUACGAGGAGCAAACGUAGCACAACUGAUGGCAAUCAGUAAACUGAAUCAUAGGGAAAGGUGUUCCGAAAUUUUCCCAUCUGAUGAAAUUCAAUUGUACGCAGUGAGAGGAACUGUUGAAUAAUUAAGUUUGAGCUACUCUAUCGAUCUCAAAUGGUACGAAACGAAAUAAUAACAUUGUCGCCAAGGGAGGGGCGACACUGGAAUGAAAAAGGAAGCAAUGAAAUGCGCAUUAUAUUUUGCGUCUUUUGUCAGGUGUACUGUACACGUUGUCUUGUGUAGUGUUCAGUCUGAAUCGGAAAUAAGAAAUCCAAAUCUACAAAACUCCACUUACGAUAUUUUAGAUGACGUUGGGUGGUUAGCCAAUCCAAACACAAUCUUUAGCCGUGGCACCUGGUAACAUUCUCGUUAAAGAACUAUUGUAAUUCUACGGAGAAGCUCGAAGAUCUUUUCAAAUGUUGACGAAUUGCAUGUUACUAAAUUAAUUGAUCGGUCUUGAGUUAUUCGAACUAUAGCCGGUUUUCCAGAGAAGGCACUGAUAUAAUGCCACUCACACAUACACAUGCCUUUUGUUUCCAGCCGGAUGAUGGUUGCCAGUUGAUUGGUAAACUGGUUUGACUGUCACUAACUUACUGCUGCUGAUUUCCACAACGCUCGGGUAGGGACUGUGACUAUAAAGAGAUUCAGGAGUGUACAAACAGGUGUAACUUGAAUAUGCAGCCGAUUUCACUAUAAAAGUGAAACUCUCUAGUGCACGCCCUUUCCUUCACUCAUUUCGCGUAUCGAAAUGCUACUCCAUGUUUGUUUAUUCGUAUGUUAUUCACAGAAUCAACCAUAGUUGCCCUGUCAAGUAAAGAAGUGACACGUCAGCUACUUUGUAUCGAGCAAUCGCAUGGCCAAAAGGAGCAAUAAAGCACCACUUUCAACUGAGCAUUACAUGCGAUGAGUAUACCAUGUUCUGAUGAUUUUGUUAACUCAACAUAAAAAUUGUAGACCGACAUUCUUUACUCGAUAGUUGAAAAAUAAAAGGGCAGUUCAGCCAUAUACAAUACGAUUUUGCUAAUUGUUACUGGUAAUUUCUUUUUAUUUUACAUAAUAUUUUAAUUAUAGAGGAUUAACGUUAAAAAUGAAUGCUACAAUUUACGAUGUCCAUUCUUGGCCCGAAAUGCAAGGUGUCAUUAACGUGGGCAAAAAUAAAAUAAUAAAAAACAGGAAGCCUGUGUAAAGUUAUAAGAACCCUAUACAAAAUAAGAUCUCUUUGAAUAAAUUUAUUAUUAUGAAAACAUUAUUAGAAAUGUAAAAUUUAUUAUAAAAUCAGAAAAAAUAAUUCAGUCUGUCGUCUAGUAAUUAUAUAUUUUCAAAUAAUUUCUUUGAAAAGAAUUUUAUACAUUUCCAAAAGUUUUUUGUUUGCAUAGUUUUUAUAUUGACAAAGGCAGUGAUUUUCAGUUGGGUGUAUGGCGGCGUGUGGAAGGCGUUCUGCAAUGAUGUUUCCUUUGACAGUGGUUUCCUCUGAGGUGAAUUUCACCAAAUUAAUUUUUACCAACACUUUUUGCCUUUAUAAUAUAAUGAAAUGAGAUCAAAUGAUCAAGUUUCACUGUAUUAUACACUGGUAAUAGCGUUGGUGAAAUUUCAACAAAUGCCCUUCGAGAUCCAACUUCAACAAAAUAGCAAAAAUUAGUUGAACUUUCAAUCAGAAGAACUUUAUCUUCAAUAAGCUAAAGCUUUUAACUGAAUUCGUAGAAUAAAUCCUCAAAAUUUAUACGUAAAAAGCAUGUGAUCAUUCAGGAUUAUUAAAUUAUUGUGAAAAUUUUGUUAGAGUAAUUUACAUCUGGAUUUCUACCUGAAAACAAAGCUUAAAGGCAGACUCUAACCUUUUAAGAAUUUAUUGCUUGAAUUCUGGAAAUGGGUUACAAACAAUGAAAUAAAAUCGCUAAAUUUUCAAAUAAUUCUGUAGUCAAGAAAUUAAUUUUUCAAAAAAAUUCAAGUAAAUCUUAAUAUUCGGUUAAAUAUUAAAGUCUCUGUUUGGUAAAUUAAUUUUGUUUCCAUUAGAGUCAACUCAAAAAAAUAAAGUAAAAAGGUUUGGUGUUAAUUGUUAACUGUUCGUAAAUUAAACAAACACUUUUUUGAAAAGUUUUUAAAGUAAAAAAAUGUUUGUGGAUUCGAUUGUUGUUUUAAAUUUUUUUUUCUGUGCUUUUGUUUUGCUUUUUGUUGUACAAAUUAAUAUACUAGGUAAUUUUUGCAUAAAUAUCUAUUUAAAAAAUGAAAAUUCACAAAUUCUUUUCUCGAAAAAUAUACACCUGAAAUCGAAAAACAUUCAAACAGAAAAAAUUUUUAUAGAAAUUAGACCAAUAGUAUAGAAAUUCAGAGUUUUAUUGGAUCAAAUGGUACGAAGAAUGUAUGAAUGAAUGCACGUAAGUAAGCCGGCGAUGUAAAAUUUGGCGUUGCAUCAGUACAGUAAAAUUUUAGAAAGAAAAAAAUGUGGGUUAUUUUGAAGCGUAAGCGAGUUGAGAAGACCCUAUUUAUUUAUAAAAUUAAAAAAAAAUAACAAUUCUUUGUAAAUAUCGCUUUUAAAAAAUUGAAGCUUAAAUUUAAUAGUUAUAAGCAAGAAACGUGAUCAAAUAAAAAAUUUUCAUUUUUCUAAGAAACAAAGCAUUUGUAACAAUUCGAAUAGCUUUUGCCAAAUCCGUAGUAAAUCAAAUUAUAAAGAUAAUUUUCAUCAAAUGAUAAAAUAUUCGCCAUGCUAGUUACGUUCAUAGUAACUAAUUAAUGUCCAUCUUUAAUUAGAUGAAAAAACUUCGACAGUUAAAAAAACUGUUUUGAUUUUCAGAAAAAAAAUUGCAGAAAAAAAACAAUAGAAAAAUGUUUAAUUAGGCUUUAAAUCUUUGAAAGCCUUGAUUUUUUGUGUUUUUGAUUUGAAGAUACCUCUUGCAAAUAUUUUAUGAUGAAUGGUAGUAUUUAAAAUUUUAACUGGUUUUUCUGGUUUUUUUAUUUCAAUUUAUCUAAAAUUUUCCACGCUUUAUAAUUUUAUAAAACCCAUUGAAACUAUAGUUUUUAAAAUCCCUAUUUUGAUAGAUUUUUUUUAAUGAAUUAAACGAAUAAAUUCUUCUUCAUUUUAACGGUUUAAAUAGAUUAAAUUCUUUUAAAACUUUGCUAACUGUCUUACGUACUUAAUCAGUUAGUUUAAUUUCUCGGAAAUUCUCUUAAUAAAUUAAUGAGGCAGAUUUUCCCAACAAUUCAUUUCGGUUUAAGUUUGGUAGAGCAGAUUUUAUUUUGUUUAGUAGAAAUAAAAAUGUUUUUGCAAGUUUGUCAAUUUUUUAAACAAAAAUGAAUAAUCUCCAGAAUGUUUUCUUUGAAGAAACUAUUUAGAGUAAAAUAUUAGCAAAUGCACAAACAUAGUUCAAAUACGAAUUGAAACUUUUCUCUUUCAACAAUACAGAACUUUGAACUAGCAAAAAUAAUGAAAUAAAAAACCGAAAUAAAAAAAAACAUUUUUUAUUUAGGAUCUAAUUUCAGAAAGAAAUUUGUAAGCAUUUCCAAAAUACAAAACAAAACAAAUAAUAUUUGCUGAUGAAUAAUAAUGGUUGAUUAAGGAUUCCUUGAAUACAUUCCACUUCCCCCGACAAUACCAGGUAAAGGAGAGCGGGGCGAUAUGGACACUCUUUGUUUUUCUCUCUAAUUUUAGAUUGGCUCAGCCAUUGCAUUUUCUUUUUGUCGUAUUAAAUUUUUGAAAUCUAUCUCUAACCACGGCCUUUAUAUUUUUUUUAGUUAGCAUACUUUGACCUGUAGGUAUAUUUGAAAAAAAAUUAAGAAUUUUGGGGGGCGGGGGCCUAAUUAGUAGGACGAAUCGGGACAGCAGGGUGAGUGAGACGGGACAAUGUCAUUUAAGCUCUACCAGAUUGUUUAAAAUAUAAAAAACCCUCUAAUAUUAGCUUAGUUUAAAUGUUUAAGGAAAAAUUUUUUUGUGUAAAUAAAACUACCAAGUUUUAUUCCCACUGGAGGAAUCCAAAAUUUUUAGGUUAAACUAUGCUAAGGGAAAAUUUGAAAUACUCUCCAUUAAUAUGCUAAAGUAGAAAGGAGUAGGAAAUGGUUAGAGCAUCGCAACAAGAAUUCUUGCUAUUAAUAGUGGAAACCGCUACCUGUAAAAUAUUGCUCCACAAAAAUAAAAACAAAUAAAAUAUUGCAAAACAAUUCUAUUCCCGCAAAAUGCAUCUUUGCUAGAAAAAUAAAUAACCUUUUCAAAAAGAUCUCAAUCCUAUCCUUUCUAGCGCUUUGUAAUAGCAAGAACAUUCUGAUUUAAAAAUUGUAAGAACUAACUAAAAAAGACAUAUUAUCCAUAAAAAUCAUUUUUCAAGUAUGAUGUAAAAAAAUAUCUUAUGAAAACCGAUUUCAAGAUAAAAUAUCCUUCGUGCGAUUCGCUUAAAAAUUUAAAAUUUUCUUAUUUGAAGCCAAAUUGUAUGAACAACUGUAGUAAAUUUGUAGAAAUUUAAGGUUUACCCAUCUUUGGGAAUAGAUUUUUUUUCAUCUAAAUGAAUAAACAAAUAGUUCGUUUUAGUUAGAAUGCCGCUAAAACCUUUGGGUUUGAAGAACAGCUUUUACUAUUUUAGUAUCAGAAAUUUGUUUAUAUUGACAUAACAAUUUUUAAGUAGUUCUUCAGUUUCUUACUAUUUGUAAUUUUAUUGCAAUAUUUCAUGAGUGAGUUCUAAAAACAGGAACUCAAACCCCUUAAAUAUAACAGUGCAAAUAAAGUUCUAGUAUUUUUGUUGGAGAAAAAAUCAUUUUCAAAUAAAAUUUCUUAUCUAAAACAGAAAAUUUUAUGGAAUUACCUUAUAUAAAAUAUGUUUCUAGUGUUUAAACUAAGUGAAGAAGUUUAAAAUUCUUGUGAUCAUUAGACUCGAUAAAGCUUCUUUAAAUUACACUAAAAGUAAUCGUUCAAAAUAUAGAAAAAAAAAAUAAAGUUUAUUUUUAAUUUGUUUUAUCACAGAGUAAAUACCGAGUCCAGUCUGAACUCGGAAAUUUUAUUGCAAAUUUUUGGUGUUGGAUUCAUUUUUUAAAUCAUACAAAUAGCAAUACAUAAAAUGCAUAGCUUUUGCAAAAUAUGUUUUUGACAACAAAAAUGUGUAUUACAGGAUGUUUUCAAGAAAUUGUUGUAUAUUAACUAACGACGUUAUGAAACGUUUUGUAAUCAUUCAUAAUUUUACUGAAUUGUAUUGUUGCAUGAAAGGAUUCAUUUUACGUAGUAACAGUUACUAUGUUACAAAAUUUUACCAAAGAAAAUGUAUGUGUUGACAGUAAAUAAUCAAUUUGUAUUUUCAAAAAAUCUUGGAAAUGAAGUUUCAGCAAUUUUAAGGUAACAUUUUAAUUGUAACCAAAAAGUGUCAUGCCUUUAUCACAGAAAUACGAAUUUCGUCGUAAUUUUUUGUCAUCUUUUAUAGGGUUGUGGUUUUCAAGUCAUGGAAUUCGCCACGCACAAAAUCGCAUAGCAGGAAGAACGUGCAUAUCGUCGCACAUAAAAAAUAAAAGAUUGUUUGUUGUUGUUUAUAAUGUAGCAGGGGACUGACAAACUUCAUAGCCGAGAAAUUUUCAAUGUGAAAAAAAUAAACAAAAAAUUUUGACAUA
rnacentral:lncRNA from 1 species